AGAUCAAAAGCACUUUGAAAAGAGGGUGAAAAGAACCUGAAACCGUUACGAAAGAAGCGUAUUGCGUUGAAUUGAUGGCUGUUUAACUCUUCAGCUGGGCGUGAGUCUAGUGUACUGAGCUAAGUAGUUAUCCGUCGUGCCUUUUCUGUGGCUGAUUUUGAGCCGCGGGAGAGGGAGGGAUCCCCUUUAUGGGUGAGGACGAUGGAGUGGCAACGCGAUGCGACCCGUCUUGAAACACGGACCAAGGAGUCUAAUACGUUUGCGAGUUGAAGGGUGGUAAACCUGGAGGCGCAGUGAAAGCGAACUUCUAAAACGGACAGUUUGUGGCGGCAUAAAAUCGUUGAUUUUAGGUCUGACUAAGAGCAAAUGUGUUAGGACCCGAAAGAUGGUGAACUAUGCUUGAGUAGGCCGAAGGCAGAAGAAAUUCUGCUGGAGGGCCGAAGCGGUGCUGACGUGCAAAUCGCUCGUCGAACUCGAGUAUAGGGGCGAAAGACUAAUCGAACCAUCUAGUAGCUGGUUCCCUCCGAAGUUUCUCUCAGGAUAGCGGGCCGACAAUUAUUGUUUUGUGCGGUAAAGCGAAUGAUUAGCGCACUCGGGGGCAUUCAGCCUUCGGUCGAUUCUCAAACUUUUAAUGCGCAAGGGUGCUGCAGCUUAGGUGUGCGGCACCUUUAAAAAUGUCGGCCUUGUGGGCCACUUUUGGUAAGCAG
rnacentral:rRNA from 1 species